GCGGGGAUAGUUCUGUUGGGAGAGCGUCAGACUGAAGAUCUGAAGGUCACGUGUUUUAUCCACAUUCACCGCA
rnacentral:tRNA from 1 species